rnacentral:rRNA from 1 species
CUAGCUACAGGCUUAACACAUGCAAGUCGAGGGGCAGCAUUUCAUUUUGCUUGCAAACUGGAGAUGGCGACCGGCGCACGGGUGAGUAACACGUAUCCAACCUGCCGAUAACUCGGGGAUAGCCUUUCGAAAGAAAGAUUAAUACCCGAUGGUAUAAUCAGACCGCAUGGUCUUGUUAUUAAAGAAUUUCGGUUAUCGAUGGGGAUGCGUUCCAUUAGGCAGUUGGUGAGGUAACGGCUCACCAAACCUUCGAUGGAUAGGGGUUCUGAGAGGAAGGUCCCCCACAUUGGAACUGAGACACGGUCCAAACUCCUACGGGAGGCAGCAGUGAGGAAUAUUGGUCAAUGGGCGCAGGCCUGAACCAGCCAAGUAGCGUGAAGGAUGACUGCCCUAUGGGUUGUAAACUUCUUUUAUAUGGGAAUAAAGUUUUCCACGUGUGGAAUUUUGUAUGUACCAUAUGAAUAAGGAUCGGCUAACUCCGUGCCAGCAGCCGCGGUAAUACGGAGGAUCCGAGCGUUAUCCGGAUUUAUUGGGUUUAAAGGGAGCGUAGGUGGACAGUUAAGUCAGUUGUGAAAGUUUGCGGCUCAACCGUAAAAUUGCAGUUGAUACUGGCUGUCUUGAGUACAGUAGAGGUGGGCGGAAUUCGUGGUGUAGCGGUGAAAUGCUUAGAUAUCACGAAGAACUCCGAUUGCGGAGGCAGCUCACUGGACUGCAACUGACACUGAUGCUCGAAAGUGUGGGUAUCAAACAGGAUUAGAUACCCUGGUAGUCCACACAGUAAACGAUGAAUACUCGCUGUUUGCGAUAUACAGUAAGCGGCCAAGCGAAAGCAUUAAGUAUUCCACCUGGGGAGUACGCCGGCAACGGUGAAACUCAAAGGAAUUGACGGGGGCCCGCACAAGCGGAGGAACAUGUGGUUUAAUUCGAUGAUACGCGAGGAACCUUACCCGGGCUUAAAUUGCAUUUGAAUAUAUUGGAAACAGUAUAGCCGUAAGGCAAAUGUGAAGGUGCUGCAUGGUUGUCGUCAGCUCGUGCCGUGAGGUGUCGGCUUAAGUGCCAUAACGAGCGCAACCCUUAUCUUUAGUUACUAACAGGUCAUGCUGAGGACUCUAGAGAGACUGCCGUCGUAAGAUGUGAGGAAGGUGGGGAUGACGUCAAAUCAGCACGGCCCUUACGUCCGGGGCUACACACGUGUUACAAUGGGGGGUACAGAAGGCAGCUACCUGGUGACAGGAUGCUAAUCCCAAAAGCCUCUCUCAGUUCGGAUCGAAGUCUGCAACCCGACUUCGUGAAGCUGGAUUCGCUAGUAAUCGCGCAUCAGCCAUGGCGCGGUGAAUACGUUCCCGGGCCUUGUACACACCGCCCGUCAAGCCAUGAAAGCCGGGGGUACCUGAAGUACGUAACCGCAAGGAGCGUCCUAGGGUAAAACUGGUAAUUGGGGCU